rnacentral:rRNA from 1 species
UACAGAGGUCUCAAGCGUUGUUCGGAUUCAUUGGGCGUAAAGGGUGUGUAGGUGGCGCGCUAAGUCGGGUGUGAAAUUUCGGAGCUUAACUCCGAAACUGCAUUCGAUACUGGCGUGCUUGAGGACUGGAGAGGAGGCUGGAAUUCAUGGUGUAGCAGUGAAAUGCGUAGAGAUCAUGAGGAAGACCAGUGGUGAAGGCGGGUCUCUGGACAGUUCCUGACACUGAGACACGAAGGCCAGGGGAGCAAACGGG